GAAGGCUCUGUGGCAGGGAGUGGGAGGGUGAUUAACAGGGGAAGAAUUAGGAAAGAGGACACGCAAGACCACAGUAAGAGAUGGAAAUAAGAGAAUAUUCCUGAUUUCCACUGGAUGACUUUGACUGGUAUGAUUUCAUUCUCUGAAAGUGUUAACCAGGGUGCAGCAUGGCCAGAAACCAUUCCGAGCCUCAUGAAGUGGGCAAGUCAGGUUUGGUCAUUUUUGGUAAUGUCAUUGCAUGUACACAGUUUAAGACAGAGCAUCUGGUGAUUCUCGGACCUUCAAGCAAGUGUCACAUCUCAGGGUGUGAGGUUUGGAGGGCCUCUCGUCAAAACUUUGGAGGGCUCUGUCAGUUUGAAAAGAACAUGACCUUUAAAUUGUAUCAGUAUGUUUGCUGGUGCAUAAGGGAGAGGAAAAGGUUCGUCCUGAUGGAAAACCACUCAGAAGCCAAGGAGUAAUUCAGAGGGAACCAGCCCAGGAAGAAUCAAGAAAGCUGCCCACAGUGUCAUUCUUCAGCUGAGAAAAGAGAGAGUUGACUAACUCCUCGGACUGGAGUGAGGACUCACAGAGGUGGUAGGACACUAACCAUCUAUGUCUCCAUUUCCUGGGUUGUAACACUGAGGUAGAACAUCUCACUGUCCCAUGGAGGAUUAUGUUAUUUUUGGAGAUUAAUAAUUUUGGAGGAAGAAAGGUGGCUUCCUGAAAAGGAAGUCACAUGAAGAAGCAACUUACACGGUGGUCUCUUUAAAUAAACAUAUUG
rnacentral:lncRNA from 1 species